AUUGAACGCUGGCGGCAGGCCUAACACAUGCAAGUCGAGCGAGCGGCGGACGGGUGAGUAAUGUAUGGGGACUGCCCGAUAGAGGGGGAUAACUACUGGAAACGGUGGCUAAUACCGCAUAUUGUCGGAUAACACAUUUGGGAUUAGCUAGUAGGUAAGGGAAUGGAUUACCUAGGAGACGAUCCCUAGCGGGUCUGAGCGGAUGAUCAGCCACACUGGGACUGAGACACGGCCCAGACUGCUACGGAGGCAGCAGUGGGGAAUAUUGCACAAUGGGCGCAAGCCUGAUGCAGCCAUGCCGCGUGUGUGAAGAAGGCCCUAGGGUUGUAAAGUAUUGUCAUUCGGGAGGCGUUACCGACAGAGGAAGCACCGGCUAACUCCGUGCCAGCAGCCGCGGUAAUUC
rnacentral:rRNA from 1 species